CGAAAAAAACAUUCUAGAUCCGAAUUCCAGGAGGGUAAACUUUCCAUGCCACGUCACACUUCAGCAAAUUUGCACAGAUAUUAUAUUGCCUCCCCCCUCCUUUAUUAUUCUUUUUUUUUUUUUUUUUGCCAGGAUCCCAUUGUACUUAACUGAAUUUUAUAACGCUGAUCGAUAUCUUGGUAAAAUAUUCAUUUUUAAACUAGCGGGCAGUGAAAUCUUUGCUUUGUGUGCUAAAGUCAACAGUCGCUCGGUUUGAGCUCAAAUAAAUGCGGGGAUGCCUCGGCUCGGAGCAGUCGGCCGCCUCCCUGCUCGCGCUGGACGCUCCGCCGGCCGCCCGCCAGCCGCCGCAGGAACCCCUGGAUCAAGACCUGCGCUCGACUGUGGCUCAGAAAAGACUCAUAUUCCUCUGCCCGCCUCUGGGCAGAUACUGGAACUAAUUGCCAUUGACGCAAAGCAUGUGACCUUCGCUGGGUGCCCAGUGCGAGAAUGUAACCAUCUGUAUGUGCAUGCAGAAAUGCAGAGUGCAGCUCCCAGAGGAAAGCAAAGGCGCAGAAAUGGGCUUCCGGCAACGUUCUUUGGCUUCAUAGAUUCACAGAUCAGUGUACAGAGAUUUGGGGAUGCUGUUCCCAAUUUAUAUCCAAGCCAUAAUCAGACUCAAUCUUCGUGGGGCAUUUAA
ensembl:lincRNA